GGCUUAGCACCGAGGCGAUGUCGUAAACAAUGAGGUUUUACCGGGUUUCGAUUAGUGCUAGUUGAAAACUUUAACCAAUGCCCUGGGAACGUGAAAAACCGUCCACUACGACAAUUUUUAGACCCACUAUGACACACUG